CCUACGGGAGGCAGCAGUGGGGAAUCUUAGACAAUGGGCGAAAGCCUGAUCUAGCCAUGCCGCGUGAGUGAUGAAGGUCUUAGGAUCGUAAAGCUCUUUCGCUAGGGAUGAUAAUGACAGUACCUAGUAAAGAAGCCCCGGCUAACUCCGUGCCAGCAGCCGCGGUAAUACGGAGGGGGCUAGCGUUGUUCGGAAUUACUGGGCGUAAAGCGUACGUAGGCGGAUCAGAAAGUAUGGGGUGAAAUCCCAGGGCUUAACCCUGGAACUGCCUCAUAAACUCCUGGUCUUGAGUUCGAGAGAGGUGAGUGGAAUUCCAAGUGUAGAGGUGAAAUUCGUAGAUAUUUGGAGGAACACCAGUGGCGAAGGCGGCUCACUGGCUCGAUACUGACGCUGAGGUACGAAAGUGUGGGGAGCAAACAGGAUUAGAUACCCUGGUAG
rnacentral:rRNA from 1 species